GGGGGCGAAACAGGAUCGACAAGGGUGUAAAGAUCGCUCUUUUACUCGGUAUGAUACCACCGUUA
rnacentral:tmRNA from 2 species